AGGAUGCACCGGUCUUCCCGAAGCCAGCUCUGAAGUGAUGUUCACCGCGUCUCCGCUUUCCUCGCUGCACCUUCCAGAUCCCGGGUCAGCCAGUCGGGGCGCCGCGCAGUUGCAUCUCCUCUGUGGCUCCAGCUCCUUCUGGAAAGCCUCUGGCUGUGGCUUUAGUUUCUUCUGAGGAUCCCCACUGCCCGGGCUCUGAUGCUGCCACCCUCUUCUUCUGUCCUUCCUGAUUAGGACGGAGGCAACUUCCUGCUCUCACUCAUCUCCGGAAAGCUUUACAGACCCUGUUUUAAGAUGGUGACUUGGGGUGCAGAGAAGAUUUUCUCCCAGGAAUCCUGACUAUUGGUCCCAACUCCACCAGCUCACUGAGAGCCUGGGCAAGUCAUGCUCACUCUCCGAGCCUCCGUUUGCCUGUUUGUGAAUGAAGACGAUUUAUUCUUCUUAGCUUCAUCUCCAAAUUGUAUCCCAAAUCAAACAUUUCUCUCCAUCCCUGCUGCCACUGCCCUGGUCUGGGCGAUGGUCUUCCCUUACUUGUACUAGAGUAUCAGCCGUCUCAUUGGCCUCCCGGCUCCCACUCCUGGUCCCACACACACUGCCGGAGGGAUCUUUGUAAAUUAUCAGUCAGACCACAUCACUCCCAGCUCAGACCCUCCACAUCCUACCUUCCUCCCAUGGCUCUCAAGGCCUCGCUAGUUGACACCCCGCUGCCUCCCUACCCUUGUCUCCUACCACGCCCCGGCUCACUAUGUGCCAGCCAUCCUGGUCCCUGAGCUGUCACUCAAACUCACGAGCUCACUCUUACCCCAGGACCUUCGCACUUGCUGUUCUCUCUACCUGGAUGGCUCUUCCUCCAUCCACAUGACUUGUACCCUCCUUUCAUGCAGAUCUCUGCUCACAUGUUGCCUGCCUCCUUACAAAGACCUUUCCCAAUCACCUUCUAAAGUACUUACAUUAUUUAGUUAUUUGUUUAUUGCCUGUCUCCCCCAACUAGAUUGUAAACUCCAUGAGGGCAGGGACUACAUCUGUCUAGGAAGGUCGUCAUCAAAUCCUCAGGUUGGAGAAUGGUGCCUAAGUCUGUAUGUGCUCAAGAAAUACUUGUGGGGGGCUUCCCUGAUGGUGCAGUUGUUGAGAAUCCACCUGCCAAUGCAGGGGACACGAGUUCGAGCCCUGGUCCGGGAAGAUCCCACAUUCUGCGGAGCAACUAAACCCCGUGCGCUACAACUACUGAACCUGUGCUCUAGAGCCUGCGAGCCACAACUACUGAGCCCUCGUGCCACAACGACUGAGCCUGUGCCUAGAGCCCAUGCUCCGCAACAAGAGAGGCCACCGCAGCAAGAAGCCUGCCCACCGCAACAGAG